UAAGACGUAGGAGACGAGCGUUGUCCGGAUUUACUGGGCGUAAAGCGCGCGCAGGCGGCCCCGCAGGUCGGUUGUGAAAGCCCCCGGCUCAACCGGGCGGAGGCGAGCGAAACCGCGGGGCUGGAGGCUGGCAGAGGGUGGUGGAAUUCCCGGUGUAGUGGUGAAAUGCGUAGAGAUCGGGAGGAACACCCGCGGCGAAGGCGGCCACCUGGACCAGGCCUGACGCUGAGGCGCGAAGGCCGGGGGAGCGAACGGGAUUAGAUACCCCGGUAGUCCCGGCAGUAAACGAUGUCGACUGGCCGUCGGGGGGCUCGACCCCUUCGGCGGCGGAGCUAACGCGGGAAGUCGACCGCCUGGGGAGUACGGCCGCAAGGCUA
rnacentral:rRNA from 1 species